rnacentral:rRNA from 1 species
UGCAGUCNNNNGUCCCUCCCGAAAUGAAGAGUGAAGCUUCGGCCGAUCUUUGAUUUUUGGAAUUGGGGACAGUGGCAAAAGGGUGAGUAACGCGUGGGUAAUCUUCCUCUAAGAUGGGUAUAACAUUCCGAAAGGAAUGCUAAUCCCCGAUGUGGUUCUUUGAAGGCAUCUUCAAAGAGUUAAAGGUGGCCUCUAUUUAUAAGCUGCCGCUUAGAGAUGAGCCCGCGUCCCAUCAGCUUGAUGGUAGGGUAACGGCCUACCAUGGCUUUUGACGGGUAGCUGGUCUGAGAGGAUGAUCAGCCACACUGGAACUGAGACACGGUCCAGACUCUUACGGGAGGCUACAGUCGAGAAUCUUUCGCAAUGGGGGAAACCCUGACGACGCGACGCCGCGUGGACGAUGAAGGCCUUCGGGUCGUAAAGUCCUGUCAAGAGGGAGGAAAGCUUUGAUAUUAAUACCAUCAGAGUCUGACAGUACCUCUAAAGGAAGCCACGGCUAACUUCGUGCCAGCAGCCGCGGUAAUACGAGGGUGGCAAGCGUUGCUCGGAUUCAUUGGGUGUAAAGGGCAAGUAGGCGGUUUGAUAAGUCAUAUGUGAAAGCCUCGGGCUCAACCUGGGAACUGCAUAUGAUACUGUCAAACUUGAGGACGGAAGAGGAGAGUGGAAUAUCCGGUGUAAGGGUGAAAUCUGUAGAUAUCGGAUAGAACACCAGUGGCGAANNNGACUCUCUGGUCCGUAUCUGACGCUAAGAGGCGAAAGCUAGGGGAGCGAACAGGAUUAGAUACCCUGGUAGUCCUAGCCGUCAACGAUGGGCACU